AAGUGGUGGUAACAGUUCAAAGUCAGCUGUUUCAAGUGGUUGUAGAGCUGGUACCGCCCAAAAGUGUGGUAUCUGACAUCAUGCCAUUGUACUCUAGAGUAUUGAUCCUGGGUAUCCGUGGCUAGGAAUGUGUUAGGAGUAGAUUUUAUUCAUUCUGUUCGGAAAUUAGUUGUGAUGUAGGAACUGUCCAAUAUUGUGUAGUUUUUUCCUAUAUAUCUAUAUGUUGAGAUGGGUUUGGGGUGUGUGCAUGUGUGGAGGUGAAGGAGCUGGUGAUCUGCAAGCUUAAAACAUUAAUUAUCUAAGUUCCUUUGACGAUUUAUCCUAUCAUAUCUUGUCGUAGCUUACAUCAUUUGCUUGCACCCUGGCAAAGCAUCGGAAUUCUUCAACUCUGGAAGCCAAAGAUGUACAGCUUCAUCUAGAGAAAAACUGGAAAUUGACCAUUCCAGGGUACUCUAGCGAAGAUGGCAAACAGGCCCCAGAGCAUUCAGCAAGUGAAGUCCACAAAAAGCGUUUGGAUGUGAUACGUACGUCAAUGGAGCCUGUUCCGUCUCAGACAAAUGCAAAUAAUGCUAAGCUGAUGGGCAGACAGGCGCCUGGCAACCCAGCUGGUCCAAGCCACAUGAUAAGACCUUCUCCAAGUUCGGAGCAGUUAGCUUCACAGUCUAAUGUGCCCCAAAUGCUGCAGCCCACAAACAGGUUUUGAUGGCCGUCAUUCAGUCUCAUGCCAAGUUAAAUGGAGAAUAUUGUAGCUGUUCACUGGUUUGAAGGCCUGCUAUUAUUCAGUUGGCCCAGAUAAUCACUUCAAGAAAGGUUUUAUGGAAAUACUGUAACAUGCACAUCCUUCUCGGAUGAAUAAGUUGGGAGUUUUUCUAGAUGUUUUUUUACAUUGAAAUCUAAAUCUACCAGAAUUAAGUAUUUUGAACCUCUCGUGAAUGGUUUUGAUUUUCAAUGGGAUUUUUGGAUCCCACCCUCGUAUGUUUUAUUUUCUGAUAAUUAUUCAGCGAGUUUCUAUGCAUUUGAGAUAUCAACACUGCAGUGUGCAGGGAAGUUCAUUAUAUAGAGUUUUUGAAGCCAAUUUUUGAAACAUGGCUUUGACAAUGAGGCCUGUGUGUGCUAGCUUAGAGGCAUAAAUAGGAUUGGUUCAUGUGGACCUUGGGUCUUUUCAGCUGAGUCCAGCCCAUGCCUUGGCCCUGAUCUCCAUACUCUUCUAGUAUUUUUUAUAUGCUGUAUGCAACUUAAUUGCCAACAGUGCACAGGAAAAUUUGUUAUCAGUUUAUGAAUCCAGUUUUUGAAACGUUGCAGUACUGUUGUCCCUGCAUUCUUUUUGAACUUCUACUGGUACGUCCGGCCUGAAUCAGAUAUUAUGAGUUUUGUGUACUGUUGGGCUGGUAUCUUGGCCAUGGUACUAUUAUGGAUAUAAAAAUAAUAGUCAAAAUUGGAUUCCAUUAAUUGUUACCCAUAUCGAAAAUAAGAUUGACUAAUGAUUUCUAAAGAACUGGGGUUACAUCUCUUUUCCAAUUUCAUUGAAGAGUUCUUAUGUCUCAUAUCAUUUGAGACCCCAACAAAUCAAGAACUUCAAUGGCUGGAGAGGGUGAGAUUAUUUCUUUCCGAGAAAAAUGUUUCCCCGGGUAUUAAGUCGCAAUUGCAUCGUGCACAAUCUCUGGAAUAGAUGUUAUUGAGUGGUAUAAAGUUGAGGACUUUAAUUUUGUCACACUUGGCAAAACCACUCCAAUCAAUACUUCCGGUUUGGAGGUUCUGCAACAUCUCACAUUCUGAUGUAGCCGAUAUGCAACAGAAAUCCUAGACUCUGGGAGAACAAUCCUUCCUGCGUAUGAUGUUAGUUGUUGGAAAUUAUGGUUAAGGUGCUUGAAGCAUGUACGCGAGCUAUAAAGGUUUGUUUUAUUUAUUGAUCUAUAUUUAGAACUAUUACACAGAGGCUUUUCUUCUUGUUUUGUCAGUACAGGAUGUAUGAAUUAAUGUUGUUAAAAUCCUUCAGUUACCACAGGACAGAUUUUCUUUCUUUUAAUUGGGGUUUCAGGGGUGAUGGGUGGAGGGGGAAUAAGCUGGUCCAGAUUUAUGUGUGACUGCCUUGAAUACAGGUGAAUGCUUAUGACAACAUUCGCGUGGCUGAUUUUUUAUAUUGGUCCAAGUACUUGUUGACUCCUGUAGCUGCUAUUCUUCAUGAUCAUGCUCGGACUCUUAGAGAUCAAGAAAGGAAAAUGGACGAGGAGCUCAUGUCUAUCGAUUGUAUUAACCAUACAGAUGAUAUUGCAUGUAGAAACGAGAUUAACAUGAUUGCCAAUAAAGAGCAUAGAAUCAUAAUUUUAUAUCUACAUUAAGAUGUUGCUGAUCUUUCUACUGAAAUACUAAGCUAGGAUAAGAUUAUAAGUUAUGAGCAUUCUGAAGUUACGCCUCCCAAAAUGGAUGCAGGAGUUGAAAUGUGCAGACUCCAUUUGUUGAUUCUCAGAUAUGUAGGCCAAUACCACCCUUGAUGAAUGGAGGUGAUACUGUAAAUGAACUUGUUUACAAGGGUCUUGCAUGCUGUGUUCUCGGUAUCGUGAUGCAUAUCCAGGGAUAUUGGAGGUAUUUAUUUUAAAACAAGCUUUUGGUAUGUACUUAUGUUUUGGGCUGCUGAACAUUUAAUUUAGUGUGUGGGUUUAUUUGUUUAGAAAUGUUAUGUGGUUUCAACUUGCUGCCAUAAAACUGAGCUUGAACUGCCUCGAUUUUAGUGAACCAUUUCUAGUUUAUGGUUACACACUACUGGUGGCUUGCAAAUUCUUUUAGAUGCUUUCUCCUUUGGUGUUUCUCUCUUUUUUGUGUUUAUUUUAUUUUUAGCUUCUAUCUUCAAUAUUUUUCUGGGAAUAAUGCUUCCUUUGUUGUUGUAAAUGAUAUUGACAGAUAAACUCUGGCUGCGGUAAAGCUUUAAAGUAAGUUUACUUGCUUCAUCUUUCUGAAAUGGUAUUGUUCGAAAUGCUGAAAUCAGGUUUUGGAAAGCUCUUUGUUCUUCUGCUUAAGCUCUAUAUAUUUGAAAAUGCUCAACACUGUUAUAGAGUUUUGAAAGGUUCCUUGAGUUCUGAAGUGAUAAAAAAUAUAAGUUGCAAUAUCUAAUAAUGUAAUCAGUAAUAACGUAAUGCUUAACAAACCUGCAGAUAGUGUAAUGAGAGGAAUAAUAAUAAAACU